rnacentral:lncRNA from 1 species
CCCUCUGAUGCCGAGCCAAGGCUGGACGGUGCUGCUGCCAUCUCGGCUCACUGCAGCCUCCCUGCCUGAUUCUCCUGCCUCAGCCUGCUGAGUGCCUGCGAUUGCAGGCGCACGCCGCCACGCCUCACUGGUUUUCGUUUUUUUUUUUUGGUGGAGACGGGGUUUUGCUGUGUUGGCCGGGCUGGUCUCCAGCUCCUAGCCACGAGUGAUCCGCCAGCCUCAGCCUCCCGGGGUGCCGGGAUUGCGGACGGAGUCUCGUUCACUCAGUGCUCAGUGGUGCCCAGGCUGGAGUGCAGUGGCGUGAUCUCGGCUCGCUACAGCCUCCACCUCCCAGCCGCCUGCCUUGGCCCCCCAAAGUGCCGAGAUUGCAGCCUCUGCCCAGCCGCCACCCCGUCUGGGAAGUGAGGAGCGUCUCUGCUUGGCCACCCAUCGUCUGGGAUAUGAGGAGCCUCUCUGCCUGGCUGCCCAGUCUGGAAAGUGAGGAGCGUCUCUGCCCGGCCGCCAUCCCAUCUAGGAAGCGAGGAGCGCCUCUUCCCGGCCGCCUUCCCAUCUAGGAAGUGAGGAGCGUCUCUGCCCGGCCGCCCAUGUCUGAGAUGUGGGGAGCACCUCUGCCCCGCCGCCCUGUCUGGGAUGUGAGGAGCGCCUCUGCUGGCCGCAACCCUGUCUGAGAGGUGAGGAGCGUCUCUGCCCGGCCGCCCUGUCUGAGAAGUGAGGAAACCCUCUGCCUGGCAACCGCCCCGUCUGAGAAGUGAGGAGCCCCUCCGUCCGGCAGCCACCCCGUCUGGGAAGUGAGGAGCGUCUCCGCCCGGCAGCCACCCCGUCCGGGAGGGAGGUGGUGGGGGGUCAGCCCCCCGCCAGGCCAGCCGCCCCGUCCGGGAGGUGAGGGGCGCCUCUGCCCGGCCGCCCCUACUGGGAAGUGAGGAGCCCCUCUGCCCGGCCAGCCACCCCGUCCGGGAGGGAGAUGGGGGGGUCAGCCCCCCGCCCGGCCAGCCGCCCCGUCCGGGAGGUGAGGGGCGCCUCUGCCCGGCCGCCCCUACUGGGAAGUGAGGAGCCCCUCUGCCCGGCCACCACCCCGUCUGGGAGGUGUGCCCAACAGCUCAUUGAGAACGGGUCAGGAUGACAAUGGCGGCUUUGUGGAAUAGAAAGGCGGGAAAGGUGGGGAAAAGAUUGAGAAAUCGGAUGGUUGCCGUGUCUGUGUAGAAGGAAGUAGACAUGGGAGACUUUUCAUUUUGUUCUGUACUAAGAAAAAUUCCUCUGCCUUGGGAUCCUGUUGAUCUGUGACCUUACCCCCAACCCGGUGCUCUCUGAAACAUGUGCUGUGUCCACUCAGGGUUAAAUGGAUUAAGGGCGGUGCAAGAUGUGCUUUGUUAAACAGAUGCUUGAAGGCAGCAUGCUCCUUAAGAGUCAUCACCACUCCCUAAUCUCAAGUAAUCAGGGACACAAACACUGCGGAAGGCCGCAGGGUCCUCUGCCUAGGAAAACCAGAGACCUUUGUUCACUUGUUUAUCUGCUGACCUUCCCUCCACUAUUGUCCCAUGACCCUGCCAAAUCCUCCUCUGUGAGAAACACCCAAGAAUUAUCAAUAAAAAAAUAAAUUUAAAAAAAAAAAAAAUUUA